UCCAUUUUCCAAUCUACAACACUAUGGAAAAUCAACGUGAAACCAAAGAAAGCAAGGUGUUUAAUGAUCCCAUCCAUGGCCACAUCGAGUUACAUCCACUUCUUGUCAAAAUCAUAGACACACCCUCAAUUCCAGAGACUACGAAACAUCAAGCAACUUGGGGGGAUUUAUUUUGUUUAUCCAGGAGCAUCUCACAAUCGCUUUGAACACUCGAUUGGGGUGGCACAUUUAGCAGGUGAGCUUGCAAAAGCUCUGAAGGUGAAGCAGUUGGAGCAGAUCAAGCCACUGGAGGAGUUGAAGGAGUUGAAGGAGUUGAAGAAGUUGAAGCCUUUGGAGUUG